AUGUACAUAUUAACUUCUAAGAGACUUCAAAUGAAAAUAAAUCGCCUACAUGAUGAAUUCAGAAAUACUGGGCUACAAGGUACACGACAGGUAGAGGCAUGGAGGAAGGACCACUGUGGAUCUUGGGUGUGUGAAGUAGACAUUGAUCACUUAGGAUCACAAAUGAACAAAGCUGGCAAGAGAAGUUAUGUAUACAUAUGGCAAACAAGUACAAAUGUUAAAAAAACAGAUGAAGACUCAAAAAGUGCAAAGAAAGAGACUGAAAUACUUGGAGAAACGAGUCCUGAAGUCUGUCAGUUGCUCAAAACUAACCUAAGCAAUGGAUGGUUAGAGGCUUCCUUAAACAACCUCAAAAAGGGUGAUUUUAAAGUAGCUGGAGAAAAUGUACUGGGAUGGCUUCGAGCAACCAUAGAAAACCUCAAAGAAAAAGAUUCUAAAGCAUCAACUCAGAGUCUUGAAGAAUGGCUUAAAGAAUCCUUUAAAAACCUUGAAAUUAAAUGUCCCGAAGCAUCCAGAAAGGAUGUGAAGGAAUGGCUGGAAAUAUCCAUAAGUCACCUCAAAGAGGAAGGACCUGACACAUCAUAUCUACGUGUCCAGGAAUGGCUUGAGACAUCCAUGAAAAGCAUCCAGGAAUUGAUUGAGACAUCUAUAAGUAGCCUCCCAAAAGAAGGCCCAACAUCUAGAGCAGAAUCCAUUCAAAGCAUUGCAAAGGGGAUGCCAGAAGCACCUGGACAGGCUGUGGCAAUGUGGCUUGAAUCAUCCAUGCAAAAUAUUGCAGAACAAUGCCUUGAAGCAGUUAGAGAAGAUGUGAAGACAUGGCUUGAAUCAUCCAUUACAAACCUCCAAGAAAAAAAUAAAGAAAUAGCUCAUCCAAUUGGACAGAAAAGCCGUGAAGCAUCCAUUAAAAGCAGCCAAGAAAGUCUAGAAAUCCCCCCUCCAAUUGGACAGAAAAGCCGUGAAGCAUCCAUUAAAAGCACCCAAGAAAGUCUAGAAAUCCCCCCUCCAAUUGGACAGAAAAGCCGUGAAGCAUCCAUUAAAAGCAGCCAAGAAAGUCUAGAAAUCCCCCCUCCAAUUGGACAGAAAAGCCGUGAAGUAUCCAUUAAAAGCACCCAAGAAAGUCCAGAAAUAUCCCAUCCAAGUAGACAGAAAAGCCGUAAAGUUUCCAUUAAAAGCUCACCAGAAAGUAUAGAAAUACCCCCUCCAAUUGGACAGAAAAGCCGUGAAGCAUCCAUUAAAAGCACCCAAGAAAGUCCAGAAAUAUCCCAUCCAAUUGAACAGGAAAGCCCUGAAGUUUCCAUUAAAAGCUCACAAGAAAGUAUAGAAAUACCCCCUCCAAUUGGACAGAAAAGCCGUGAAGUGUCCAUUAAAAGCACCCAAGAAAGUGUAGAAAUACUCUAUCCAACUGGACAGGAGAGGCGGAAAUCAUCCCUUAAAAGCAUCCAAGAAGGUAGCAGAGAAAUAUCCGAUUCAACACUGCGGGAGAAUAUUGAAGCAUUUCUUGAAAGCAAAAGUGCUGAAGUACCUCUUCAAAGACAACAGGAUGUGCUGGAGCGGCCUGUAGGAUCUUUGAAAACCCUUGACAUGGAAGGUCCUGGGGAAUCCAGAAAGGACUUGCGGGAGGAGGCCAAAAAAUCCACAGAUACCAUCCUAGGAAAGGAACCAGAAGCAUCCAGGCAGGACCAGCAGGAACUCCUAAAAAUAUUAGUUGAGAAACAUGAAGUGAAAGGCCCUGCAAAUGAUGUGCAAGAAUGGCUGAGUAAAUCUAUAAGAAGUGUCCAAAAUGCAGCCUGCAGAAUCAAAGUGCAAAAAUGGCUUGAAGAUACUUUAGAAAACCUUGAAACAGCAGGCUCUGAUAUAGCUAGACAAAGCCUACAGGAAUGGCUUAAAGCAUCAAUACAGCUUCUUAAAAAGGAAGGUCCUCAAGACUCCAUAGGUAACGUAGAGGGAUGGCUUGAGCAAUCCAUAGAAAACCUCAAACAGGAAGCAUCCAGACUGUAUAUUCAAGAAUGGCUUGAAGAAUCCCUACAAUAUCUCCAAGAGGAAGAUCCUGGAUUAUCCAAACAAGAUGUGAUGGAAUGGGUUGAAAAAUCUCUGCAAAGCCUGAAUGAAAUAUGCCCUGAACCAUCUAGGGAGGUUGUGAAGAAGUGGCUUGAAAGCUCGCUCAAGAGUCUCCGUGACUCCCCGCAGGACCUGCAGGACCUGCAGGACUUCUUAGAAUCAUCUGUGUCCAAGAUUAGGAAAGAAAGUAUUGUUGCUUUUAGGGAAAGCAAUAUGGAUUGGCUGCAAGUACCCGAGUGGACAGCGAACAUUCAAGAUUCCUCAGAGAAAAUGCAACGUAACAUAUCCAGGAAAAGUAUAUACCAAGAAGAACCUGAAGAACCUAACGAAGAACCUGAAGAAGACAUCACAAGUCAAAUAUUAACUCCUGAUCAAGAAGAAUUUGAAGUGCCUAGAGAAAUUCAAGUAAAGCAGGUAUAUGAAAGUCAAAACAAACUAAAAAAUAAGACUUAUAGAAAGAGUGGAGUAAUAAUGAAUUACAUUUUUGUAUUCCUUUCUGCUUUCUUAUAUAUUGUCACAAAAUCAAAAAGGUAACAACAUAAGCUGUUGUACAUAAAUGAUAACAAACUACAGUAGAGUCUCACUUAUCCAAGCUAAACGGGCCGGUAGAAGCUUGGAUAAACGAAUAUCUUGGAUAAUAAGGAGGGAUUAAGGAAAAGCCUAUUAAACAUCAAAUUAGUUAUGAUUUUACAAAUUAGGCACCAAAACAUCAUAUUUUACAACAAAUUUGAUAGAAAAAGCAGUUCAAUACGCAGUAAUGUUAUGUUGUAAUUACUGUAUUUACAAAUUUAGCACCAAAAUAUCACGAUAUAUUAAAAACAUUGACUACAAAAAUGGCUUUGAUAAUCCAGAAACUUGGAUAAGCGAGGCUUGGAUAAGUGAGACUCUACUGUAAUUGAUUUUUAAAGGAUAGAAUUAUGUUUUAUUAAUAAUUUUU
rnacentral:lncRNA from 1 species